GAUGAACGCUGGCGGCGUGCCUAAUACAUGCAAGUCGAGCGAACAGACGAGGAGCUUGCUCCUCUGACGUUAGCGGCGGACGGGUGAGUAACACGUGGAUAACCUACCUAUAAGACUGGGAUAACUUCGGGAAACCGGAGCUAAUACCGGAUAAUAUAUUGAACCGCAUGGUUCAAUAGUGAAAGACGGUUUUGCUGUCACUUAUAGAUGGAUCCGCGCCGCAUUAGCUAGUUGGUAAGGUAACGGCUUACCAAGGCAACGAUGCGUAGCCGACCUGAGAGGGUGAUCGGCCACACUGGAACUGAGACGCGGUCCAGACUCCUACGGGAGGCAGCAGUAGGGAAUCUUCCGCAAUGGGCGAAAGCCUGACGGAGCAACGCCGCGUGAGUGAUGAAGGUCUUCGGAUCGUAAGACUCUGUUAUUAGGGAAGAACAAAUGUGUAAGUAACUAUGCACGUCUUGACGGUACCUAAUCAGAAAGCCACGGCUAACUACGUG
rnacentral:rRNA from 1 species